UUGGAAAAAAAAAAGCCCUAAAAACUUCUCUCUCUUCGUUUCCUCCUAGCCUCCCAUCCCUUAUCUUCGUGAAAACCAGGCGCACCAGCCCUCCCCCUGCGUCGUCUCCGGCAACUCCUAAUCGGCGAACGAUGGCGCACGAACCCAGUAGCGUGCUUCCUCGGCUUUCUUCUUCGGCGGCAUCUGUGCCCAGCAGCGGUUUGACAAUUACCGACCAACAGCGGAUACUGUGGCGGUGAGAACCCGGAAGGCGUCCUCCUUUGCAGGUAACGGCGAAACAGGCCCGUGACCACAACGCCAAGUUCGGUUCUGCAGCAGUCCGGCCAGAUCUGAGAGUUCCGAUCUUCUGUACCCACUCUCACAUUUGCGUCAAUCGAUUCCAAAUCUGUGUAUCGAACACUUUUGCCACAGUUCAAACAAAGACCCCCAAUUAAUUCGAUAAAGGUAAGUAGGUAACAACCUUCUCGUUCCCUUUUCCGAUUAAUUUUCAGUGGUCGAAACUUGAGUUAUAACGUUCUGAAUUUUCUUUUUCUUGUCUAGUAAUUGAUCCAAAUUAAGGGCUUGGAGCGUGUUGUAAGUAAAAGUAGAUUGGGGCGUGUGUGCGUGCAAUUUUUCGUGUAUAUCUCUUAUAUUUAUGGUUAUUGGACCUAGUUUGAGAAUUUUUAUUUGAUGUGACUUGAUAUAGUUUACUUGUGGAUGGUUGAAAGCAUGUUCUGAAGUUUGGAUGAAUGUGUGGUUUGUUAACCAUAUGCUUGCUGGAGACCAGGAACGGGACGUCUAGGUGCAUUCUACUUCUUCCAGCUUGUGCAUCACACUCAAUUGAACGUGAUGUACAUUUCAAACUCUUGUAUUUUCACUUCUAUUAUAAUUCAUAUUUGUCUUCUUUGUUUUCUUUUCGCGCUCAAGUUUGUAUAGUGAAAGAAAGUAGGGCCUUACAUCUUGUUAUCAAAUAUUUAUGCAUCUCGAUGAUUUUUUAGAGGAUAUAGGCCAUUAAACACUGAUCUGGAAAAAAAAUAGAAGAAGGUACACACUUCACAGAUGGUCAUGGUAGAAGGAAGGGAAGAGAUGAGACGAGGGCUAUGUGUGAGUUGGUGUAGGAUUUAGGCUUUUGGGUAAUUAGGUGAAUGUUUGGGGUACGUAAAUUUACUUAUAAUUUUUUCCUCCCCAUACUUGUAGUGAUGGAAACAGUGGAAAACCUUCUAAUGGAAUAAAAAAUAACCAUCUCUUUCCCAUGUCUUGUUGGAGUUAUUUGUUUGUUCUUCUUUGAUUAAAUUUGUGUUGCAGUUUUCAUCACAGUAGACGGUGGCCCAUCUCACAUAUCUCUAUCUCCAUUCAAGACAUGCCACGCCACACCCACAAUUCAUUAAAUUAAGGAUAAGCAUCACUUGUUUUUUGGUUUGAAUUAUAUAUACUGGUAUGUUUAUGGUAAUUAUUAUUUUGUAAAUUUUAUACUUAUUAAUUGCCACCAAAGAAAUAUCAAGGAAAUUUAUAUCUCAGCGACAUGGUUAGGAAUUCUUA